GAUGAACGCUGGCGGCGUGCCUAAUACAUGCAAGUCGAGCGAACGGACGAGAAGCUUGCUUCUCUGGUGUUAGCGGCGGACGGGUGAGUAACACGUGGAUAACCUACCUAUAAGACUGGGAUAACUUCGGGAAACCGGAGCUAAUACCGGAUAAUAUUUUGAACCGCAUGGUUCAAAAGUGAAAGACGGUCUUGCUGUCACUUAUAGAUGGAUCCGCGCUGCAUUAGCUAGUUGGUAAGGUAACGGCUUACCAAGGCAACGAUGCAUAGCCGACCUGAGAGGGUGGUCGGCCACACUGGAACUGAGACACGGUCCAGACUCCUACGGGAGGCAGCAGUAGGGAAUCUUCCGCAAUGGGCGAAAGCCUGACGGAGCAACGCCGCGUGAGUGAUGAAGGUCUUCGGAUCGUAAAACUCUGUUAUUAGGGAAGAACAUAUGUGUAAGUAACUGUGCACAUCUUGACGGUACCUAAUCAGAAAGCCACGGCUAACUACGUG
rnacentral:rRNA from 1 species